UUCGAUUCGAUUCAUUUAUUAAUUCUACUAAACUAAUUAAAUGAAUCGAACCCAAUAUUCGUUUAAUAAACGAAUUGAAUCCGAAUCUUGCGAUUUCAAAUCCUUUAAUAAACGAAUCGAAUCCAAAUUAGUAGAAUUUUGACCAAUUCGUUUACGAUUCGAUUUAAAUUUGAUUCAUUUAUUUAUUUUGCCACCCUUUUUAGUUCACCAUAUCCUUGAGAGAGAAUAAGCCUAUCAUUCCUUACAUUAUCCUCGAGUAAGGAUAUGGUCCAUUUGAUUCUUUUUACCAAUUUUUAUGAGCGUUAUUUGGUAAGCUUUAGAAAUAAUAGGCUGGAAAUCAAGUUCUCCAUCAAUGUCUCGUCGGAGAGAUUCGCAAGAUUCAGCUCACUCACUCCAUAAAAUUUUCAACUACAAUUAACUAAAAAAAAAACAAAUAACACAAAAUCAUGCUGUGGGCCCUAUUGGGCCAACCUUUCAAAAAGUGCUGCAGCACAGCCCACCAACUCAGUAACCAUGCCAUGUCGGGCCGCUUGCUCUCAUAUGCCUGUUUUUUAUGACUGGCACGAUCCGUUGGAUAUCUCCAAUUGUUUUUAUUAUUAUAGGACAUUCAACUGAGUAAUGUUAUUAACUUUAUGAAUAUUAGAGAUGAUAAUCUGGGCUAAUGGGUUGAAUUCAUGUUGAACCAUAUGAAUUGAGUCAAAAUCUAGUAAAUCUGUGUCUCUUUUUAUUAAACGAAUUAAAAAUAAUAUCUAAUAUUACCUGACUAUUAAAUAAUAUACAUAUAAUAUUUACUAUUCAAUUUGUCUUUUUUGUCAGUCAAUUCCAAAAUUACCUUCAGAUGUUAUAGCUUAAAUUUUAAAACUAUAAUAUGCAAUUUAUUUAGCAAAUCAUAAUUGAAUAAAUGAAAUGCUUAGAUUAAAAUUGUGUUCCGCCUAUUUAUGAAACGGGUUGACAUAUAUUAUGUGAAAUGUGUGUCAAUUGAAACCUACUUAUUUAAAAUCAAAUUGUGUGAAAUGGAGGGAUUAUGAUCCAAAUUGCGGUCUCUACUGGAUUUAGACAAUGCACACGUCGGGAGUUCAUAAUAUUAUCAAAUAAUCACUUAUUUAACAUUCUAGCACCCAAAUUAUAGGUAAUAAUUUAAUUUUAGAAGUGAUAAUUAAACAAUCUGAUACUGUAUUUCUUCUAUUAUCUAACUCCUUUGUCAGUGUAUCCACCACUGUUGCGUAUAAUAAUAACAACAAUUUCUGUUAUUCUGUUU
rnacentral:lncRNA from 1 species